GGAACGGAACGGAACGGAACAGAAGGGAACGGAACGGAUCGGGCAGCGGGCGCAGCCAUGUCCUUCUGCUCCUUCCUGGGGGGAGAGGUGUUCAAGGACCACUUCCAGCCGGGUAUUUACGUGUGUGCCAAGUGUGGCCAUGAGCUGUUCUCCAGCCGUGCCAAGUACGAGCACUCGUCGCCGUGGCCGGCGUUCACCGAGACCCUGCGGGAGGACAGCGUGGCCAAACGCGAGGAGCGCCCGGGGGCCUUGAAGGUGACCUGCGGCAAGUGUGGCAACGGGCUGGGCCACGAGUUCCUCAACGAUGGCCCCAAGAGGAGCCAGUCCCGCUUCUGAAUAUUCAGCAGCUCGCUGAAGUUCGUCCCCAAAGGUAAAGCUGACCUGAAGGAGAAGUAAGUGAGCUGCUGCACCUGCCACUGCCCUGGGCUAAUCCUGCCUCCACUCCUGGGAUGCACUGACCUGCCAAGGGACCCACAGCAGGAGCAACCCCAAGGAAGCUCCUGGUCCGAGUUUCCCCUGAUUGUCUGGUCACGCUUUCCCCUUGAUUUCCCUGUCAAGGUUUUAUUCCCUGAUUUCCCUGUCAGUUUUCCCUGUUGCAGUUCCCCUCGAUUUCUCUGUCACGGUUCUCUGCUGGUUUCCCUGUCCUGGUUCCCCCCUGGUUUCCCUCUCACAGUCCCCCCUGGUUUCCCUGGCUCAGUUCCCCCUGGGGCUGUUCCAGCUCCACC